GGGUUGUGAGGUUAAGCGACUAAGCGUACACGGUGGAUGCCCUGGCAGUCAGAGGCGAUGAAGGACGUGCUAAUCUGCGAUAAGCGUCGGUAAGGUGAUAUGAACCGUUAUAACCGGCGAUUUCCGAAUGGGGAAACCCAGUGUGUUUCGACACACUAUCAUUAACUGAAUCCAUAGGUUAAUGAGGCGAACCGGGGGAACUGAAACAUCUAAGUACCCCGAGGAAAAGAAAUCAACCGAGAUUCCCCCAGUAGCGGCGAGCGAACGGGGAGCAGCCCAGAGCCUGAAUCAGUGUGUGUGUUAGUGGAAGCGUCUGGAAAGGCGCGCGAUACAGGGUGACAGCCCCGUACACAAAAAUGCACAUGCUGUGAGCUCGAUGAGUAGGGCGGGACACGUGGUAUCCUGUCUGAAUAUGGGGGGACCAUCCUCCAAGGCUAAAUACUCCUGACUGACCGAUAGUGAACCAGUACCGUGAGGGAAAGGCGAAAAGAACCCCGGCGAGGGGAGUGAAAAAGAACCUGAAACCGUGUACGUACAAGCAGUGGGAGCACGCUUAGGCGUGUGACUGCGUACCUUUUGUAUAAUGGGUCAGCGACUUAUAUUCUGUAGCAAGGUUAACCGAAUAGGGGAGCCGAAGGGAAACCGAGUCUUAACUGGGCGUUAAGUUGCAGGGUAUAGACCCGAAACCCGGUGAUCUAGCCAUGGGCAGGUUGAAGGUUGGGUAACACUAACUGGAGGACCGAACCGACUAAUGUUGAAAAAUUAGCGGAUGACUUGUGGCUGGGGGUGAAAGGCCAAUCAAACCGGGAGAUAGCUGGUUCUCCCCGAAAGCUAUUUAGGUAGCGCCUCGUGAAUUCAUCUCCGGGGGUAGAGCACUGUUUCGGCAAGGGGGUCAUCCCGACUUACCAACCCGAUGCAAACUGCGAAUACCGGAGAAUGUUAUCACGGGAGACACACGGCGGGUGCUAACGUCCGUCGUGAAGAGGGAAACAACCCAGACCGCCAGCUAAGGUCCCAAAGUCAUGGUUAAGUGGGAAACGAUGUGGGAAGGCCCAGACAGCCAGGAUGUUGGCUUAGAAGCAGCCAUCAUUUAAAGAAAGCGUAAUAGCUCACUGGUCGAGUCGGCCUGCGCGGAAGAUGUAACGGGGCUAAACCAUGCACCGAAGCUGCGGCAGCGACGCUUAUGCGUUGUUGGGUAGGGGAGCGUUCUGUAAGCCUGCGAAGGUGUGCUGUGAGGCAUGCUGGAGGUAUCAGAAGUGCGAAUGCUGACAUAAGUAACGAUAAAGCGGGUGAAAAGCCCGCUCGCCGGAAGACCAAGGGUUCCUGUCCAACGUUAAUCGGGGCAGGGUGAGUCGACCCCUAAGGCGAGGCCGAAAGGCGUAGUCGAUGGGAAACAGGUUAAUAUUCCUGUACUUGGUGUUACUGCGAAGGGGGGACGGAGAAGGCUAUGUUGGCCGGGCGACGGUUGUCCCGGUUUAAGCGUGUAGGCUGGUUUUCCAGGCAAAUCCGGAAAAUCAAGGCUGAGGCGUGAUGACGAGGCACUACGGUGCUGAAGCAACAAAUGCCCUGCUUCCAGGAAAAGCCUCUAAGCAUCAGGUAACAUCAAAUCGUACCCCAAACCGACACAGGUGGUCAGGUAGAGAAUACCAAGGCGCUUGAGAGAACUCGGGUGAAGGAACUAGGCAAAAUGGUGCCGUAACUUCGGGAGAAGGCACGCUGAUACGUAGGUGAAGUCCCUCGCGGAUGGAGCUGAAAUCAGUCGAAGAUACCAGCUGGCUGCAACUGUUUAUUAAAAACACAGCACUGUGCAAACACGAAAGUGGACGUAUACGGUGUGACGCCUGCCCGGUGCCGGAAGGUUAAUUGAUGGGGUCAGCGCAAGCGAAGCUCUUGAUCGAAGCCCCGGUAAACGGCGGCCGUAACUAUAACGGUCCUAAGGUAGCGAAAUUCCUUGUCGGGUAAGUUCCGACCUGCACGAAUGGCGUAAUGAUGGCCAGGCUGUCUCCACCCGAGACUCAGUGAAAUUGAACUCGCUGUGAAGAUGCAGUGUACCCGCGGCAAGACGGAAAGACCCCGUGAACCUUUACUAUAGCUUGACACUGAACAUUGAGCCUUGAUGUGUAGGAUAGGUGGGAGGCUUUGAAGUGUGGACGCCAGUCUGCAUGGAGCCGACCUUGAAAUACCACCCUUUAAUGUUUGAUGUUCUAACGUUGACCCGUGAUCCGGGUUGCGGACAGUGUCUGGUGGGUAGUUUGACUGGGGCGGUCUCCUCCUAAAGAGUAACGGAGGAGCACGAAGGUUGGCUAAUCCUGGUCGGACAUCAGGAGGUUAGUGCAAUGGCAUAAGCCAGCUUGACUGCGAGCGUGACGGCGCGAGCAGGUGCGAAAGCAGGUCAUAGUGAUCCGGUGGUUCUGAAUGGAAGGGCCAUCGCUCAACGGAUAAAAGGUACUCCGGGGAUAACAGGCUGAUACCGCCCAAGAGUUCAUAUCGACGGCGGUGUUUGGCACCUCGAUGUCGGCUCAUCACAUCCUGGGGCUGAAGUAGGUCCCAAGGGUAUGGCUGUUCGCCAUUUAAAGUGGUACGCGAGCUGGGUUUAGAACGUCGUGAGACAGUUCGGUCCCUAUCUGCCGUGGGCGCUGGAGAACUGAGGGGGGCUGCUCCUAGUACGAGAGGACCGGAGUGGACGCAUCACUGGUGUUCGGGUUGUCAUGCCAAUGGCACUGCCCGGUAGCUAAAUGCGGAAGAGAUAAGUGCUGAAAGCAUCUAAGCACGAAACUUGCCCCGAGAUGAGUUCUCCCUGACCCUUUAAGGGUCCUGAAGGAACGUUGAAGACGACGACGUUGAUAGGCCGGGUGUGUAAGCGCAGCGAUGCGUUGAGCUAACCGGUACUAAUGAACCGUGAGGCUUAACCUUACAACGCCGAAG
rnacentral:rRNA from 1 species